UACGUAGGGUGCGAGCGUUGUCCGGAAUUACUGGGCGUAAAGUGUGCGCAGGCGGCAGAGCAAGUCGAGUGUGAAAGCCCCCGGGCUUAACUUGGGAAUUGCGCUCGAAACUACUUUGCUGGAGUGUGGCAGAGGAAGGUGGAAUUCCACGUGUAGCGGUGAAAUGCGUAGAGAUGUGGAGGAACACCAAUGGCGAAGGCGGCUACCUGGACCAGCACUGACACUGAGGCACGAAAGCGUGGGGAGCAAACAGG
rnacentral:rRNA from 1 species